rnacentral:piRNA from 1 species
UCCCUGGACAGGAAGAGAAUUAACCAACCGG